UACGUAGGGUGCGAGCGUUGUCCGGAAUUAUUGGGCGUAAAGGGCUCGUAGGCGGUUUGUCGCGUCGGGAGUGAAAACCUUGGGCUUAACUCAGGGCUUGCUUUCGAUACGGGCAGACUAGAGGUAUGCAGGGGAGAACGGAAUUCCUGGUGUAGCGGUGAAAUGCGUAGAGAUCAUGAGGAAGACCAGUGGCGAAGGCGGGUCUCUGGACAGUUCCUGACACUGAGACACGAAGGCCAGGGGAGCAAACGGG
rnacentral:rRNA from 1 species